AUUGAACGCUGGCGGCAGGCCUAACACAUGCAAGUCGAGCGAGCGGCGGACGGGUGAGUAAUGUCUGGGAAACUGCCUGAUGGAGGGGGAUCACUACUGGAAACGGUAGCUAAUACCGCAUACCAUCAGAUGUGCCCAGAUGGGAUUAGCUAGUAGGUGGGGUAACGGCUCACCUAGGCGACGAUCCCCAGCUGGUCUGAGAGGAGGACCAGCCACACUGGAACGGAGUCACGGUCCAGACGCCUACGGGAGGCAGCAGUGGGGAAGAUUGCAAAAUGGGCGCGAGCCUGAUGCAGCGAUGCCGCGUGUGUGAAGAAGGCCUUCGGGUUGUAAAGCACUUUCAGCGGGGAGGCGUUACCCGCAGAAGAAGCACCGGCUAACUCCGUGCCAGCCGCCGCGGUAAUUC
rnacentral:rRNA from 1 species